rnacentral:rRNA from 1 species
UACGUAGGGGGCAAGCGUUGUCCGGAAUCAUUGGGCGUAAAGCGCGCGUAGGCGGCCCUGUAAGUCCGUUGUGAAAGUCAAAGGCUCAACCUUUGAAAGCCGAUGGAUACUGCAGGGCUAGAGUCCGGAAGAGGCGAGUGGAAUUCCUGGUGUAGCGGUGGAAUGCGCAGAUAUCAAGAGGAACACCUGCGGCGAAGGCGGGUUGCUGGGCCGACACUGACGCUGAGGCGCGAAAGCCAGGGGAGCGAACGGG